rnacentral:tRNA from 1 species
UGCUCGAUUAGUUCAGCUGGAUAGAAUGUCUGCCUACGGAUUAGAUGGUCGUAGGUUCGAAUCCUGCCUCGGGUAU